rnacentral:tRNA from 2 species
GGGCCGGUAGUCUAAUGGUAGGACGCUUCCCUUGCAAGGAAGAGAUUCUGGGUUCGAAUCUCUGAGAAAAUCCCAGCCGGUCCA